AUUUAAAAAACAUGAGCUCAUAAAAGCAUUUAACACUGUAGGAUAUCUCAACAUCCCAAAAGUAUUUCAUAUCAACUAUCUGUUCUUUAUUUUAUUUAUUUAUUCUUUAUUUUUUUAAUACUUACAUUUGAGCAUCUGGAGAAUGCAUUUCAACCGAAGCAAUUUACAAAACCACAGGAGUGAGUCAGUGCAUUGUUUUAAUGAUGUGAAAAAAGUUUUGUACCAUUAUUGUGUCAGGCAGAAUGCAAAAACCUUAGAUUAACUUCUCCACCCACACAGAAAAACCUUGCAUUGUCUGUUUUUGUAUUGUUGCUCUUUCAAAUUACAGCGUCUUGUAAAAUCUUUCAAAGGAACAAAAAGGACUUUCAAAAUGUUAGUGUCAGCUAUAAGUGACAUUGUGCCUCCUUGCAAAGUGCACAACCCUACACUAUUGGCUCAUAUAAGGUCUUCGGGAAGUGUUUGCACAUUUUUAAUGUUAGCUACCAUAUUCUUGUGGUUGACUUCAGGGUGUAUGGUGGUUAUGGACACCUCUCCCCACCCACCACCGAAACCAUAAACUGUCAUUCCGCUACUGUAGUGGAUUGUAAACUAAAGAGUAUGAUGAGGCCACUUGCCCUGUAAAUGCAACGAAGGGCGUAACAUAAUCAGAGAACACAUAGAAGGUUUUAUAAAGACGAACAAAACAUUUAGAGGCUGCAUUAAAAGCCGUGACCUAUACAGAUGUGUAACAGCGUGAGAUUCACAUGUCAGCGGGUGAAGUGAAGGAGGAGAGUGGUAUGCAUGACCUCCUGCAGGAGUAGCUGGGUUACUUUAAUUACAUUUCAGCAGUGCUGCUUUUCAGAGGCAUAGACCAUGGUUCUGAUCAUCUCCUUCUGAUUAUUAGACCUUUGUGGAGACUCUGUAUGCUGUCAGGCUGUAAUUAUAAGAAGCUCAGAUAGCUUUUUACAUGUCAGUGCUUUACACAGAGCUGUUCCGGAGAUCUGGCAUUAGGAGAAGAAGAAAAAAAGCACUGAUGAGAACAGCACCAACUAUAUAACUAAACGAAGUAUCUUUCAACUGGACCACAGCGCACAGCAGGUGUUCACUGAUGUCCAGCAGUGUCCAAAGCUCUGUAUCCCACAAUUCCCUUCACCUGUGUCGACUGAAGGUCCUUCACCCUCUGGGUGAACAGGAGGCUUCAAACAGUUGCUGCAGAGCUUUGAGUGGAUCACUCUCAUCUCCGUCUCCAAGUUGACAUCAAUCUGAAAGCUAUCAGCGGUCUGAAGUUUGCAGAUUCCCCGGGGGGAACAGCAGCCCAUCGCCAGCUCAGAUUACACCAGCAAGAGAAUCGGUACUAUUUUGGUUAAAAGGGAUGACUGAGAACCGUUUAAUACACUUGAAUUAAAAUAUUACUUUUAAAUGUUGUAUUUUCAUUUUUAAAAUGCUUGUUAAAUGAUUAUAAAUGUAUGCAAUGUUGAAAACUAUGCUGCAUAAUUCAGUUUGUAUUAUAUUUUUGCCCAUGUUGGGUGUUUUCGAUGUUCACGUUUUGAUCAUUACUGUUGCCUCUUGACUGCUUUUUAAUUUCCAACCUAUUUUCAGUUCAUCUUAAGCCAGCAAUAGUAAUUUUCAUUCAAUGUUUGAGUUAAAUUAAAACAACCCAGCAUGUUGGGUCAAAUAUUUAACCCAACUGGCUGGGUUAAAAUAACCCAAAGCUGGGUUUGUCCAUAUCCCUGAUAGCACAUGUACAUCUCAGAGACGUCUAUUUGACGUCUGCAUUUACAUCUGCAAUACGUCUAUUGGACGUUUCCUAUCAGAUGUCAAAUAGACGUCCAUCAGAUGUCUGUAAGAUGUUUAUGAUUUUGAAUGUAUGUAAAACUGACAUCUUACAGAUGUAUGCCUGACGUUUGUACACAGCAGAUGCUUUCCAGAUCAAGAGAUUUUUAACAGACAUCUUGCAGACGUACAUGUGCUUCCAGCGUUGGGUAACUAAAAUAACCUAAAUUUGGAGCGUGGGGGCGAGACUUCCGGUUUAUUCGCUGCUAUAUGUAAUAACAAGAAGAAUAACAAAGUGCAGUAAACGGUAAAACUGCAAACCAGUGUGGUCAUAAUUAAGAUAACACAUUAAAAGUAUAUGGUAAGACACACCAAUUUGC